CAGCCGCCGCGGUAAUACGAAGGGGGCUAGCGUUGUUCGGAAUCACUGGGCGUAAAGGGUGCGUAGGCGGGCAUUUAAGUCAGGGGUGAAAUCCCGAGGCUCAACCUCGGAACUGCCCUUGAUACUGGGUGUCUUGAGUCCGGAAGAGGUGAGUGGAACUGCGAGUGUAGAGGUGAAAUUCGUAGAUAUUCGCAAGAACACCGGUGGCGAAGGCGGCUCACUGGUCCGGAACUGACGCUGAGGCACGACAGCGUGGGGAGCAAACAGGAUUAGAUACCCCUGUAGUCCCUGUCUCUUAUAC
rnacentral:rRNA from 1 species